CCUACGGGAGGCAGCAGUGGGGGAUAUUGCACAAUGGGGGAAACCCUGAUGCAGCGACGCCGCGUGUGGGAAGACGGUCCUCUGGAUGGUAAACCACUGUCGCCAGGGACGAAGAUGCGGGUACCUGCGGAGGAAGCUCCGCCAACCUACGUGCAAGCAGCGGAGGUAAUACGUGGGGGGCGACGGUUGUCCGGAAUUACGGGGGGUAAGGGUGGGGUAGGCGGGGAUGAAAGUUGGUGGGAAAAACUACCGGCCCAACUGGGGGUCGCACGGAAAACUGCAGCUCUUGAGUGAAGGAGAGGCAGGCGGAAUUCCUAGUGUAGCGGUGAAAUGCGUAGAUAUUAGGAGGAACACCAGUGGCGAAGGCGGCCUGCUGGGCUUUUACUGACGCUGAGGCUCGAAAGUGUGGGGAGCGAACAGGAUUAGAUACCCGAGUAGUC
rnacentral:rRNA from 1 species